rnacentral:lncRNA from 1 species
CUUGGAUAGGACCACCACAAAUGAGUGGGAGGCCAGGCAAAUGCAGGCAGUGAACAGAAGUGGAUGGUGGAAUGUUGGAGAAGGGCGAGGAGGGAGCUGAAGGAGAGAGAGACAUUAUCUCAUCCAACUGAUCUGGGUCAAGAGUGGCCAGGCCCUUGUAUCCUUCAUACACUCGGCAAGAAGUCACCAGAUGCUCAGAUGCUACUGGAACCGAAGUCCUGAAGAUUCACUUAAAUCCAAGCCCUUGGAAAGUUUGGGGGAGCAAUUUGUUUUAUCA